GAGCGGAUCGAUGGGAGCUUGCUCCCUGAGAUCAGCGGCGGACGGGUGAGUAACACGUGGGUAACCUGCCUGUAAGACUGGGAUAACUCCGGGAAACCGGGGCUAAUACCGGAUAACACCUACCCCCGCAUGGGGGAAGGUUGAAAGGUGGCUUCGGCUAUCACUUACAGAUGGACCCGCGGCGCAUUAGCUAGUUGGUGAGGUAAUGGCUCACCAAGGCGACAAUGCGUAGCCGACCUGAGAGGGUGAUCGGCCACACUGGGACUGAGACACGGCCCAGACUCCUACGGGAGGCAGCAGUAGGGAAUCUUCCGCAAUGGACGAAAGUCUGACGGAGCAACGCCGCGUGAGUGAAGAAGGUUUUCGGAUCGUAAAACUCUGUUGUUAGGGAAAAACAAGUGCCGUUCGAAUAGGGCGGCGCCUUGACGGUACCUAACCAAAAAGCCACGGCUAACUACGUGCCAGCAGCCCCGGUAAUACUUAGGUGGCA
rnacentral:rRNA from 2 species